rnacentral:rRNA from 1 species
AUUAGGGUUCGAUUCCGGAGAGGGAGCCUGAGAAACGGCUACCACAUCUAAGGAAGGCAGCAGGCGCGCAAAUUACCCAAUCCUAAUACAGGGAGGUAGUGACAAGAAAUAACAAUACAGGACCUUUAAUGGUUUUGCAAUUGGAAUGAGUUAAGUAUAAACCCCUUUACAAGUAUCAAUUGGAGGGCAAGUCUGGUGCCAGCAGCCGCGGUAAUUCCAGCUCCAAUAGCGUAUAUUAAAGUUGUUGCAGUUAAAAAGCUGGUAGUUGGAUUUCUGUUAAUUACUUUAUAUAAUUUUACACUUUCGUGUAGUUAUAUAGUAUUAACAUAAUUCAUAUUACUAUUUUAGUAUAUGAAAUUUUACUUUGAGAAAAUUAGAGUGCUUAAAGCAGGCUUUUGCCUUGAAUACUUCAGCAUGGAAUAAUAAUUAAAGAUUUUUAUCUUUCUUAUUGGUUCUAAGAUAAAAAUAAUGAUUAAUA